rnacentral:rRNA from 1 species
GUGGGGAAUCUUGCGCAAUGGGCGAAAGCCUGACGCAGCCAUGCCGCGUGAAUGAUGAAGGUCUUAGGAUUGUAAAAUUCUUUCACCGGGGACGAUAAUGAUGGUACCCGGAGAAGAAGCUCCGGCUAACUUCGUGCCAGCAGCCGAGGUAAUAAGAAGGGGGCUAGCGUUGCUCGGAAUUACUGGGCGUAAAGGGCGCGUAGGCGGACAGCUUAGUCAGAGGUGAAAGCACAGGGCUCAACCUUGGAAUUGCCUUUGAUACUGGCUGUCUUGAGUUUGGGAGAGGUGAGUGGAACUCCGAGUGUAGAGGUGAAAUUCGUAGAUAUUCGGAAGAACACCAGUGGCGAAGGCGACUCACUGGCCCAAUACUGACGCUGAGGCGCGAAAGCGUGGGGAGCAAACAGGAUUAGAUACCCGUGUAGUCC